rnacentral:tRNA from 1 species
UCCUCAGUAGCUCAGUGGUAGAAGCAAUCGGCUGUUAACCGAGUAGUCGUAGGUUCAAGUCCUACCUGGGGAG